UACGUAGGGGGCAAGCGUUGUCCGGAUUUAUUGGGCGUAAAGAGCGUGUAGGCGGCUUGGUAGGUCCGCUGUGAAAACUCGAGGCUCAACCUCGAGAUGUCGGCGGAAACCACUUGGCUAGAGUCCGGAAGAGGAGAGUGGAAUUCCUGGUGUAGCGGUGAAAUGCGCAGAUAUCAGGAAGAACACCUAUGGCGACGGCAGCUCUCUGGGACGGUACUGACGCUGAGACGCGAAAGCGUGGGGAGCGAACAGG
rnacentral:rRNA from 1 species